rnacentral:rRNA from 1 species
UACGGAGGGGGCUAGCGUUGUUCGGAAUUACUGGGCGUAAAGCGCGCGUAGGCGGCUUUGUAAGUCAGAGGUGAAAUCCCGGGGCUCAACUCCGGAACUGCCUUUGAAACUGCAUCGCUUGAAUCCGGGAGAGGUGAGUGGAAUUCCGAGUGUAGAGGUGAAAUUCGUAGAUAUUCGGAAGAACACCAGUGGCGAAGGCGGCUCACUGGACCGGCAUUGACGCUGAGGUGCGAAAGCGUGGGGAGCAAACCGG